GUCAGGUACAGUGGUGCACACCUGUAAUCCCAGCAACUCUGGAGGCUGAGGCAGGAGGAUUGCAAGUUCAAAGCCAACCUCAGCAACAGCAAGGUGCUAAGCAACUCAGUGAGACCCUGUCUCUA
rnacentral:sRNA from 1 species